CUGAUGUCGAUUUCUACCAGGACUUCCUUACUCCUCAGGAGGCAGACAGCUUCUUCAAAGGCAGCAGCUGAAUAUGCAAUGUAGACGCCAAUCCCGGUGUAUUUGUAAUACAUGAAAGUGCUGGUGUCAUUCUACAAACUAAGCAGCUGUUGUUAUCAGAUGACUGAAGCCAUACAAGCCUCGCGGAACAAGGUAUUUAUGGACAAGGAUGAGAUCCGCCUGAGCCUUCUCCAGGCUCAACAGCCUGAGCUCUCUCCAUCUCCUCACAGGAGAGGUGCUCCAUCCCCCUCAAACCUUCACGGCCCUGUAGUGGACCCUCGCCUUCUUAUGAUGGUCUCUCUCUGUGGGACCCAGCGCUGGACACAGCACUCUGUACCACCUCACCAGUGCCGAGCAGAGGGGAAGGACCACUGCUGUCCAUCUGCUGGCUCCCUAACAACAAAGUGCUCAUGAACAGUAUAUGAACUGACAAGUUGCUUUUUCUGAACCUGCAGAACUUGUAGUUUUCUAUUUUUCUGUCCAUUGCUGGCUUUUCUGACAGCCAUAGUUGCAGUACAGGAAAAUGACGGUGUGUCACUUCAGCUGUUCUUACCCAGCAAACAAGCAAAAUUCUUCAAUUUUGAGCCAUGGUAUUGCAAGAACCUGUUCAACCAGGAGUAUAUAUUUUUUUUAAAUCUUGCUUUUACAUUCAUAAUGAGACGAUAUCAUUUUGCUUCUUGACUUGAUGUGAUUCAGUUGCACUUAGCUUUAAAUAUUUUUCACACGCAGUACGUUAAGUUGAAAAAGCUGCUGGAAGAUGGCUGCUCUUGGUGAAAGCAUAAACGUGCCUGAUUUCUUCUGUGAUGCUCGAGGCCGAGCACCAACUCCAACGGCUGUCCUUCCACAUGUCACGCCAAAGGAGAUGGAAUUCAUUUGAGUAUUUGCUCUAAUUUGAAUGCUUUUUUGGUGUCAGGGUAUUCUUGUUUUAUCCCGUGUUUUAUGUAGCUCUCAUAGGCACAUGGCACAGUUUUGGAGAGCGUUAUUUGCUUACUGCAGUUGCAGGCGGCAGCAGGCAGGCGGCCAUGGAGGCCGUUCGUUCUGACUGACCCAAUGGCGGCGAAGAGGGCGGGGCGGGCGCGUCAGCCGCGCGCCGGAAGGA